rnacentral:rRNA from 1 species
GACGAACGCUGGCGGCGUGCUUAACACAUGCAAGUCGAGCGGUAAGGCCCUUUCGGGGGUACACGAGCGGCGAACGGGUGAGUAACACGUGGGUGACCUGCCCUCAGCUCUGGGAUAAGCCUGGGAAACCGGGGUCUAAUACCGGAUAUGACUCCAUGACGCAUGUUGUGGGGUGGAAAGCCUUGUGCGGCUGAGGAUGGGCCCGCGGCCUAUCAGCUUGUUGGUGGGGGAUGGCCUACCAAGGCGACGACGGGUAGCCGGCCUGAGAGGGCGACCGGCCACACUGGGACUGAGACACGGCCCAGACUCCUACGGGAGGCAGCAGUGGGGAAUCUUGCGCAAUGGGCGAAAGCCUGACGCAGCGACGCCGCGUGAGGGAUGAC